AAAGCUCUGUCAUAUGGAAAGAAUGGUCAUUGUUCUAACAGGGCAGUGAUUUGACGGUACCAUAAAAGGAAGCACCGGCUAACUUCGUGCCAGCAGCCGCGGUAAUACGAAGGGUGCAAGCGUUGUUCGGAUUUAUUGGGCGUAAAGCGCGCGCAGGCGGACUAUUAAGCCAGAUGUGAAAUCUCGGGGCUCAACCCCGAAACUGCGUCUGGAACUGGUAGUCUAGAAUCUUGGAGGGGGAAGCGGAAUUUCGCAUGUAGGGGUAAAAUCCGUAGAGAUGCGAAGGAACACCAGAGCCGAAGGGGGCUUCCUGGCCAAGUAUUGACGCUGAGGCGCGAAAGCGUGGGGAGCAAACAGGAUUAGAUACCCUGGUAGUCCACGCCGUAAACGAUGUGCACUAGAUAUUGGAGACUUUGACCUCUUCAGUGUCGUAGCUAACGCAUUAAGUGCACCGCCUGGGGAGUACGGUCGCAAGACUAAAACU
rnacentral:rRNA from 1 species